AGAGUUUGAUUCUGGCUCAGGAUGAACGCUGGCGGCAUGCCUAAUACAUGCAAGUCGAACGAGAACCUUCGGGUUCUAGUGGCGAACGGGUGAGUAACACGUAGAUAACCUGCCCACCAGACCGGGAUAACUGAUGGAAACGUCUGCUAAUACCGGAUAGUUACAGAGGAGGCAUCUUCACUGUAUUAAAGUCGGGACACGACACUGAUGGAUGGAUCUGCGGUGCAUUAGCUAGUUGGUGAGGUAACGGCCCACCAAGGCGAUGAUGCAUAGCCGGCCUGAGAGGGUGAUCGGGCACAUUGGGACUGAGAUACGGCCCAGACUCCUACGGGAGGCAGCAGCUAAGAAUAUUCCGCAAUGGAGGAAACUCUGACGGAGCGACGCCGCGUGGAUGAGGAAGGCCGGAAGGUUGUAAAAUCCUUUUAAGUAUGAGGAAUAAUUAGUGUAGGAAAUGACAUUAAGGUGACUGUAGUACUUGAAUAAGCAACGGCUAAUUACGUGCCAGCAGCCGCGGUAACACGUAAGUUGCGAGCGUUGUUCGGAAUUAUUGGGCGUAAAGGGCAUGUAGGCGGUUAUGUAAGCUUGAUGUGAAAGGCAGGAGCUUAACUCCUGGACUGCGUUGAGAACUGCAUAACUGGAGUCACUGAGGGGCAGGCAGAAUUCCAGGUGUAGGGGUGAAAUCUGUAGAUAUCUGGAAGAAUACCAAUGGCGAAGGCAGCCUACCAGCAGAUGACUGACGCUGAGGUGCGAAGGUGUGGGGAGCAAACAGGAUUAGAUACCCUGGUAGUCCACACAGUCAACUAUGGUACACUGGAUGUCUUGCUCAAAAGAGUGGGGUGUCGAAGCAAACGCGAUUAAGUGUACCGCCUGGGGAGUAUGCCCGCAAGGGUGAAACUCAAAGGAAUUGACGGGCACCCGCACAAGCGGUGGAGCAUGCUGUUUAAUUCGAAGAUACGCGAAGAACCUUACCUAGACUUGACAUCCCGGGCAAUGCUAUAGAAAUAUAGCGGAGGUUACCUCGGUGACAGGUGGUGCAUGGUUGUCGUCAGCUCGUGUCGUGAGAUGUUCGGUUAAGUCCGAUAACGAGCGCAACCCUUAUCGUUAGUUGCUAACAUUCAGUUGAGAACUCUAAUGAUACUGCCGGUGACAAACCGGAGGAAGGUGGGGAUGACGUCAAAUCAUCAUGCCCCUUACGUCUAGGGCUACAGGCGUGCUACAAUGGCCGAUACAAAAAGACGCAAUACCGCGAGGUGGAGCAAAUCUCUAAAAUCGGUCUCAGUUCGGAUUGGAGUCUGCAACUCGACUCCAUGAAGUUGGGAUCGCUAGUAAUCCUGAAUCAGAAUGUCAGGGUGAAUACAAUCCCGGGUGUUGCACUCACCGCCCGUCA
rnacentral:rRNA from 1 species